rnacentral:rRNA from 1 species
AUAACCUUCGCGAAAGUAAGAACUAAUACCCAAUGACGUCUCUAGAAGAACAUCUGAAAGAGAUUAAAGAUUUAUCGGUGAUGGAUGGGGAUGCGUCUGAAUUAGCUUGUUGGCGGGGUAACGGCCCACCAAGGCUACGAUCAGUAGGGGUUCUGAGAGGAAGGUCCCCCACAUUGGAACUGAGACACGGUCCAAACUCCUACGGGAGGCAGCAGUGAGGAAUAUUGGUCAAUGGACGAGAGUCUGAACCAGCCAAGUAGCGUGCAGGAUGACGGCCCUAUGGGUUGUAAACUGCUUUUAUAAGGGAAUAAAGUGAGCCUCGUGAGGCUUUUUGCAUGUACCUUAUGAAUAAGGACCGGCUAAUUCCGUGCCAGCAGCCGCGGUAAUACGGAAGGUCCGGGCGUUAUCCGGAUUUAUUGGGUUUAAAGGGAGCGUAGGCCGGAGAUUAAGCGUGUUGUGAAAUGUAGAUGCUCAACAUCUGCACUGCAGCGCGAACUGGUUUCCUUGAGUACGCACAAAGU